AGGUGCACUGUAUUUUCCAAGUGGAUGCUCGGCCUUGGUUUUCCCAGUUCACCAUGCUGAAUAGCACCUGUGUGCAGAUUCGUCAGCUAUAUUUAAUAGACUUGGAGAUGGGCCGCACAGUUUGUAAGAAAAAUGAUGAAGACAUUGACAAUUGCCCAUUACAGCAAGGCCCAGGAGAGAAAAGGGUGCGCUGCACUUAUAUCGUGGAGACUUUAGCAUGGAUUACCCAAUUCAACAUCAUUAACAGCACUUGUGUUUAGGCAUUGGCGAGAAAGGAAACCCUGGAUACAUGCAGCCAAAGUCUUCUUUCCUCUAGAAUGUGAUCAUCUGUGGUCCAAAGUCUGUGUAGCACCAGCACAAUUAAAAGCAUCUCACAACA